rnacentral:lncRNA from 1 species
CACGAGCUACUUGAGGAACAGAAUGACUUGAGGCACAACAAGUGGUUUAUGAACAGAUGGGAGGUACCCUUAGAGAAUCAAUGGAUGCUGAAAAGGAUACGGAAGAGAAUUUAUAAACUACCCCACUAGCAUUCCUUAGCAGACCUACUACUUUGACUGGAAUGAUGUGGCUCUGAGCUGCUUUGCCAAAUUCUUCAUGGAGCAGUCCCACAAAGAGAGGAAAUAUGCAGAGAAGUUCUUUGACAUCUCUCUGCAGAUUGUUAAGUUCUAGAAAGGCAUGACCCACAAAGCUAGUUAUAAUCCCAACUUUCAACAAACAACAUGGUCUGCUUAAAGAGGGUCUUCCUUGUGCCCUGGGGCAACUACCUCACUUACUGAUGGACUCCAUGUCGGAGCGGAAGCCGGAGCAAGACAAGUUGGGUGUGGCCUGGAGGCCCUGCAGCUGAAGAGGACCAUCAAUCAGGCCUGGUUGGAGCUACACAAGAUGAUGACAAGGAAAGUGGCUCUCGCUUGAGCUGGAGACUGACAAAUUUCAGAUACUUGCUGAGUGCCAGACAAGAGGAAGCCAAUUUGAGCAGCUAGAACACCCAAAAGCAGCAUUUUGAGAUUUGGAGCAAAAACGGGUUGCCGAUCCUGAAAAAUUUCUGCUGCAACUAUCCCAGGA